UAUCUCUGUAGAGUCUGCAUAUCAAUAAGCGGAGGAAAAGAAACUAACAUAGGAUUCCCUUAGUAACGGCGAGUGAAGCGGGAAGAGCUCAAAUUUGAAAUCUUCAAGGUUUUACCUUGACGAAUUGUAGUUUAAAGAAGUGUUUUCUGUUAGAUGUUUAGUAGCAAAGUUCCUUUGGAAUAGGACAUCAUAGAGGGUGAGAAUCCCGUAUUUGGAUCAUUACUUCCUAGCUUUGUGAUACACUUUCAAAGAGUCGGAUUGUUUGGGAAUGCAGUCCAAAAUGGGUGGUAAAUUUCAUCUAAAGCUAAAUAUUGGCGAGAGACCGAUAGCGAACAAGUACCGUGAGGGAAAGAUGAAAAGAACUUUGAAAAGAGAGUUAAACAGUACGUGAAAUUGUCAAAAGGGAAGCGUUUGACACCAGUGUUGUUUUCUCGAAAAUCAAUUAAGAAUGGAUGGAUUUUGUGUUGUAUUGACUUUAUCAGCUUUCUUCACUUUUUUCUGAGUCUUUUUUAAUGCACUUUUCGGUUAACAAGUCAACAUCAAUUUCUUUUGUUGUAAAAGAGUAUUCGGAAGGUGGCUUUUUCUUCGGAGAAAGUGUUUAUAGCCCUUAUACUUCUACAAUCGGAGAGAUUGAGGUCUGCAGCGUAGAUCCUUCGGGGUUAGAUACAUUUGUGCUAAGCUAUAGUUCUUUAUAGACAACUUGUUGACUAUGUAGUCAUGCCUGUACUUACUCGCUUAUGCUAUUUUACCUACGCUUAGGAUGUUGAAGAUGUAGCACAUCAU
rnacentral:rRNA from 1 species